rnacentral:rRNA from 1 species
UAGGGAAUCUUCCACAAUGGGCGCAAGCCUGAUGGAGCAACACCGCGUGAGUGAAGAAGGGUUUCGGCUCGUAAAGCUCUGUUGUUAAAGAAGAACACGUAUGAGAGUAACUGUUCAUACGUUGACGGUAUUUAACCAGAAAGUCACGGCUAACUACGUGCCAGCAGCCGCGGUAAUACGUAGGUCCCGAGCGUUGUCCGGAUUUAUUGGGCGUAAAGCGAGCGCAGGCGGUUAGAUAAGUCUGAAGUUAAAGGCUGUGGCUUAACCAUAGUACGCUUUGGAAACUGUUUAACUUGAGUGCAAGAGGGGAGAGUGGAAUUCCAUGUGUAGCGGUGAAAUGCGUAGAUAUAUGGAGGAACACCGGUGGCGAAAGCGGCUCUCUGGCUUGUAACUGACGCUGAGGCUCGAAAGCGUGGGGAGCAAACAGGAUUAGAUACCCUGGUAGUCCACGCCGUAAACGAUGAGUGCUAGGUGUUAGACCCUUUCCGGGGUUUAGUGCCGCAGCUAACGCAUUAAGCACUCCGCCUGGGGAGUACGACCGCAAGGUUG